AAUUGCCGCGUUACUCCACUUCGAAUAGAGGUUCAUUACAAUUAAUAUUGAAUGGCUACAUUUAUUAUAAUCAUCACAUCGCUAAUAAAGGACGAAAACGUCGCUGGAGAUGUAUAGACUAUCGUACUAUACAAUGUCCCGCGUUUAUAGAUACUGAUGACGAAGUCAUAGUGAACAGGGAAUGCUUACAUCGUCAUCCGUCCCAUAGAAAUAAAAUAUUGAAGAAAGCAAACCAAAACUUAAUAUUUACAUCAAUAACUAAAGCUACAGAACAAGACUCUGUUUGAACUAAAAUACAGUGACUACAACUAAUUUGUAUAUUUACUGUAUUUAACAAUUAAAACAUCGUAAUAAUAGUCA
rnacentral:lncRNA from 1 species